CGCGGUGAAUACGUUCCCGGACCUUGUACACACCGCCCGUCAAGCCAUGGAAGCUGGGUGUACCUAAAGUCGGUAACCGCAAGGAGCCGCCUAGGGUAAAACUAGUAACUGGGGUU
rnacentral:rRNA from 1 species